rnacentral:other from 19 species
AUUUAAAUACAUCUCAUGUCAAUGUUUAAC